rnacentral:rRNA from 1 species
GACGAACGCUGGCGGCGUGCUUAACACAUGCAAGUCGAACGGAAAGGCCCUGCUUUUGUGGGUUGCUCGAGUGGCGAACGGGUGAGUAACACGUGAGUAACCUGCCCUUGACUUUGGGAUAACUUCAGGAAACUGGGGCUAAUACCGGAUAGGAGCUCCUGCUGCAUGGUGGGGGUUGGAAAGUUUCGGCGGUUGGGGAUGGACUCGCGGCUUACCAGCUUGUUGGUGGGGUAGUGGCUUACCAAGGGUUCGACGGGUAGCCGGCCUGAGAGGGUGGCCGGCCACAUUGGGACUGCGAUAGGCACCAGACUCCUACGGGAGGCAGCAGGGGGGAAUAUUGCACAAUAGGCGGAAGCCUGAUGCAGCAACGCCGCGUGCGGGAUGCCGGCCUUCGGGUUGUAAACCGCUUUCGCCUGUGACGAAGCGUGAGUGACGGUAAUGGGUAAGGAAGCACCGGCUAACUACGUG